rnacentral:rRNA from 2 species
GUCUACGGCCAUACCACCCUGAACGCGCCCGAUCUCGUCUGAUCUCGGAAGCUAAGCAGGGUCGGGCCUGGUUAGUACUUGGAUGGGAGAAGUGAUGUUCCUUAUCAUACAUUCUGGGAAUAAAGAAAAAUGUUAACA